rnacentral:pre_miRNA from 1 species
GUACUACUCCCUCCGUCCCAAAAUUCUUGUCUUAGAUUUGUCUAGAUACGGAUGUAUCUAACACUAAAACAUAACUAGAUACAUCCGUAUUUGGACAAAUCUAAGACAAGAAUUUUGAGACGGAGGGAGUACUUU